rnacentral:lncRNA from 10 species
ACGCUUCUGAGAGAGGCAUCAGAGGAAAAGAUCGUGUCUUUCUUCCAGCUGCUGUGGCGUGUCAGUCUAGAAUGGCUGCCACCAUUUUGUCAGAAUUAUGGAGGCUUGGUGGGUCCAAAAUCUGCUAAAUCAGGUGGAGUAGGCUGGCAAGCUGGAGAUUCAGGAUUUGCAGUUUGAGUCCAAAAGUGGUCUGCUGGCAGAAUUUCUUCUUGCUCAGGGUAGAGCGAGGUUUGUUCUAUUCAGUACUUCAACUGAUCAGGUGAGGCCCACCCACAUUGUGGCGAACAGUCUGCUUUGCUCAAAGUCCACUAGCUUAUUUUUUAUUUUUUGAGACAGAGUCUCGCUCUGUCACCCAAGCUGGAG